rnacentral:misc_RNA from 1 species
AACGCACAUUGCACCUUUUGGUAUUCCAUGAGGUAUACAUGUUCGAGCGUCGUUUAAAUCUGAGACUCACGUCUUGUGUUGACGUAUUCCGACGGAUGUUGGAACGUUGAAAAUUAUAGGCGCACGUGACUCGUGACGAACCCAACAAUCUGGAUAAGUUCGAGUUUUCAUGCUGCCGAUAAAACUUUUACAUUAACGUUCGACCUCGAAUCAUGUAGGAUUACCCGCUGAACUUAA